rnacentral:pre_miRNA from 1 species
AGGAGGACACAGAAGGGGAAGAGGAUGCAGAAAGAACGUCACGUAACCACGUGACCUUUUUUCUGCAUGCUCUUCCUCUUCUGUGUGGUCGUAA